AGCGAACGCUGGCGGCGUGCCUAACACAUGCAAGUCGAACGUGAAAAGGGAAACCUGAGUAAGUUGUCGUACGGGUGAGUAACGCGUAGGUCAUCUACCCCAGAAUCUGGAAUAACCUGCCGAAACGCGGGCUAAUACUGGAUACAGCGUGGGAACUCGUACGAGAGUUUUUCGGGAGAGGGAUCCCGCCAGGUCCUUCGUUCUUGGCUGCGCCUGCGUCUCAUUAGGUAGUUGGUAAGUUAACUGCUUACCAAGGCGAUGAUGCGUAGCUGGUCUGAGGGGAUGAGCAGCCAGACUGGAACUGAAACACGGUACAGACUCCUACAGGAGGCAGCAGUGGGGAAACUUGCGGAAUGGACGAAAGUCAGACGCAGACACGCCGAGUGAGUGAAGAAGGACUUCGGGUUGUAAAGCACUGUCGGAUGGGACGAACAUGUUCAUAGUGAAUAGCUAUGAGGAGUGACGGUACCAUGAAAGGAAGCACCGGCUAACUCCGUG
rnacentral:rRNA from 1 species